UAGUACUUGCGUGCCUCUUAAUAAAUAGUCACACUAGCUAUGCAGAAAGGAUUGUAAAAAGUGAACUUGGCGUAGACGCCGUAUCUUUAGCACCUGGUUAUAAACCAUGCCCACAAACUGUGGGAUCAAGUGGUAUUUACGAUAUUCAAGUUCCUGGGCUGGGAACUUUUCCAGCUUCCUGCGAGGCCGACAUUGCUGGACCCGUAUAAACAAGGCUUUGGUAAUCUAUCUGGUGUUUUUUUCAUUGGAUUGGAUAAACUCCAUGCCAUAACCGCAACACAGAAUCACGAAUUGUAUAUCCGCCUGGAGGACUUCGAUGGACAAAUUCGUUAUGCUCGCUAUGAUCAGUUUUAUAUUGAAAACGAAAACAUGCAAUAUCAACUGUCUAAAAUAAACGGCUUCUCUGGAGAUGCAGGAGACUCAAUGAUAGUGCAUUUAGGAAUGAAGUUUACAACCUUCGACAUGGAUAAUGAUUUGUGGGUUGAUGGCAAUUGUGCGACAAAACAUAAUGGUGCUUGGUGGCAUAAACAAUGCUUCGACUUCAAUGCUUUUGGACUUUAUUUGGGUGGCGAAUAUAGCGAUGAAUUGUUUGGAUCGGGAGUAUUUUGGCAGCAUUGGCAUGGCCCAAAAUAUUCUUAUAAAACUAUAAUAAUGAUGGUUAGACCCACUUCUUACAAUUGAUAUAUG